AGUUCGAUUAUGGCCUUAGAUUGAACGCUGGCGUGUGGAUGUUUACACAUGCAAGUCGAACGGCAGCCAGGACUUCGGUCUGGAGGGCGAGUGGCGAACGGGGCAGAGUAAUGUAUCGGAACGUGCCUAGUAGCGGGAGUAAUCACGCGAAAGCGUAGCUAAUACCGCAUACCGCCCUUCGGGAAAGCGGGGGACCUUCGGGCUCGCACUAUUAGGAGCGGGCCGAUAUCGGAUUAGCUAGUUGGUGGGUGAAGGCCACCGGCGCGACGAUCCGGUAGCUGGUUUGAGGACGACCAGCCACACUGGGACUGAGACACGGCCCAGACUCCUACGGAGGCACAGGGGAAUUUUGACAAUGGGGGAAACUGCAUCCAGCCAUCCUAUGUGCGAUGAAGGCCUUUCGCUGUAAAGCACUUUUGGCAGGAAAAGAAACGGCACGGGAUAAUACCCUCGUGCAACUGACGGUACCUGCAGAAUAAGCACCGGCUAACUACGUGCCAGCAGCCGCGAAGGGCCGUAGGUGGAAGACCGGAAUUACUGGGCGUAAAGCGUGCGCAGGCGGUUCGAAAGAAAGAUGAAAUCCCAGAGCUUCUUAACUUUUGGAACUGCAUUUUUAACUACCGAGCUAGAGGUCAGAGGGAGGUGGAAUUCCGCGUGUAGCAGUGAAAUGCGUAGAUAUGCGGAGGAACACCGAUGGCGAAGGCAGCCUCCUGGGAUAACACUGACGCUCAUGCACGAAAGCGUGGGGAGCAAACAGGAUUAGAUACCCCGGUAGUCCACGCCCUAAACGAUGUCAACUAGCUGUUGGGGCCUUCGGCCCGGCAGCGCAGCUAACGCGUGGAAGUUGACCGCCUGGGAGUACGGUCGCAAGAUUAAAACUCAAAGGAAUUGACGGGGACCCGCACAAGCGGUGGAUGAUGUGGAUUAAUUCGAUGCAACGCGAAAACCUUACCUACCCUUGACAUGUCUGGAAUCCCGAAGAGAUUUGGGAGUGCCUGCAAGAGAACUGAACACAGGUGCUGCAUGGUUGCUGCCGCCUGUGUCGUGAGAUGUUGGGUUAAGUCCCGCAACGAGCGCAAACCCUUGUCAUUAGGUUGUUACGAAAGGGCACUUUAAUGAGGAUCGCCGGUGACAAACCGGAGGAAGGUGGGGAUGACGUCAAGUCCUCAUGGCCCUUAUGGGUAGGGCUUCACACGUCAUACAAUGGUCGGGACAGAGGGGUCGCCAACCCGCGAGGGGGAGCCAACCCCAGAAACCCGAUCGUAGUCCGGAUCGGGAAGUCUGCAACUCUGACUGCGUGAAGUCGGGACCGCUAGUAAUCGCGGAUCAGCAUGUCGCGGGUGAAUACGUUCCCGGGUCUUGUACACCGCCCGUCACACCAUGGGAGUGGGUUUUACCAGAAGUAGUUAGCCUAACCGUAAGGAGGGCGAUUACCACGGUAGGAUUCAUGACUGGGGUGAAGUCGCAACAAGGUAG
rnacentral:rRNA from 1 species